UGGACCAGUGAUAAGAACGUGUUAGGAACCAAAGAUUAUGAGUAAUCUAGUUUUGUAUAUCUGAGGUCCAUU
rnacentral:snoRNA from 8 species